rnacentral:rRNA from 1 species
UACGUAGGGUGCAAGCGUUGUCCGGAAUCAUUGGGCGUAAAGCGCGCGUAGGCGGCCCGAUAAGUCCGCUGUAAAAGUCAACGGCUCAACUGUUGAAAGCCGGUGGAUACUGUCUGGCUAGAGUACGGAAGAGGCAAGUGGAAUUCCUGGUGUAGCGGUGGAAUGCGCAGAUAUCAGGAGGAACACCUAUAGCGAAGGCAGCUUGCUGGGACGUUACUGACGCUAAGGCGCGAAAGCGUGGGGAGCGAACAGG